rnacentral:rRNA from 1 species
UACGGAGGGGGCUAGCGUUAUCCGGAUUUACUGGGCGUAAAGCGCCCGUAGGCGGCCUGACAAGUUGGACGUGAAAGCUCCUGGCUUAACUGGGAGAGGCCGUUCAAAACUGUCAAGCUAGAGUCUGGAAGAGGAGAGCGGAAUUCCCGGUGUAGUGGUGGAAUGCGUAGAGAUCGGGAGGAACACCAGUGGCGAAAGCGGCUCUCUGGUCCAAAACUGACGCUGAGGGGCGAAAGCGUGGGGAGCGAACGGG